UGGCCAGAAAGAAGUUCAACUAUCUUGAGUUCUUUUCCGUGCUCUUUGGUAGAGUUAAGUCUGAAGGGGUGCAAUCUUUCUGAUGAUGUCUUUUCUACGGAUUUAAGUGCUCUAUCCUACUUGCGAAGACUACAUUUGGAUGAGAAUCCAAUUUGCAGUCUGCCAGUUUUCAUCAAAGGUUUGAGGAGGAUCGAUGAACUCUCUUUCAAGGGUUGUGAUAGGCUCGAAUCGCUUGUGGGGUUGCCGGAAGUACACCAAAGGCUAAGUAUAAAAGAAUGCAUAUCAUUAAAAAAAAUAACUUUUCAUUCCCCUGGGCAACAUUAUCUAACACGUGUAUUUUGCCAUGACAACCCGAAUCUUGUUGAGUGUGAGUGCUAUUACAAGUUAGAGCCUAUUGAUAGAGUUGAUGUGGAAAUGAUCAAACUUUUGGGCUUGUGCAACUUGGAAUCCAUGCCAGCUGUUCGAAUGCAUCAUCCACUCACAAACUGGGAUCUAAUAGAGGUCCCCGUCCAGGUGCGCCUCUUUUUCUCUCUCUCUCAUAAGUCUUAAAUAUAUAAUGGGAAAGAAAUGACUGAGUAAUGUUGUGAUGACUGUGGCAAAUACAUAGGGACUGUAUCAACAUGGUAUAUUCAGCACCUUUUUUGUUGGGAAUGAGGUUCCAGGCCUGUUCAGCUAUAAAAGUACCAAGUCCUCGAUAUCUUUUAUUGUCCCUUUACUACUUGCUAGUCACAGAAUUCGAGGCUUGAACAUCUUUGCUACCUAUGCAAAGGAAAAUUCAAAUAAUUAUUCUACUAGACCUAAUAUUGGUCCAAUAAUGAUCAAAGUGAGAAACAAGAGUAAGGGUCUGAAGUGGAUCUAUGACCCAUUUUUCUAUGGAAUCCCAAGUGACGGAGAAGAUAUGAUAUGGUUGAGCCAUUGGAAGAUGGAGAAUAAAACAAUAUUACAAUGUGGAGAUGAAGUGGUGGUUUCGGUAAUAACUGGACCACGUGACAUGUUUUGGGUCAAGGAGUUUGGUGUCGAGCUUGUGCAAGAGCACCAAGACAAGAUGAGUACCCAACACAACACCAAAUCUGAUCCUAAUUAUCCAUUUGUUAUUGAUGGAGAUUUGAAGAUGUUUGAGGACAGACCGGGAAAAUACUUCCUUGGCAGUUAUUUUAUAGAAGAAAUUGAUGACAUUGAUAUCCUCACCAUGGACUCUGAUGAAGAAGACACAAGUAUGUUGUGUUGUUGUAUUGCAUUGAAUUAUACUUCAUCCAAACACUUCCAGGUGUGUCCGUAUUCAUUUCAAAAACGUUUCCAAUAAAUUUUAUGUUAUUUGUAUGUUUUUCAGACAAAGAAGGGCAAGAGGAUGAACCUGAUUACACAAUUGCAAAGACGAGGGCUGCUAGCAAUAACUGCAGCCUGAGAGGCUGGAAGGUGCGCCUCACAGCUGUCGGCUUCUUUUUCGCGCUUGCUCUAGUAGGUUGGUCCUCCAUCUCCCAAAAAAAGAAGCGACAAUCGUCCACAAGCCCACCAUGAGUUUGUAAUUUGACUUCAAAUGUGCUUGCUCUAGUAGCUAAGCACUCUUAACCGCUUGAGAUAUAAAAGCCCAUUGCAACUAGAUACUGAACUUCAAAUGUGUUCAACGCCAUCAAAUAUAGCAUAAAAUACAUCCAGCAUUAGGUUCCAAGCCCACUAUUGAAAAUCAUGUUCAUCCACUCUACACAUCCAAGGCAGCAAACUAACUAGGAUACCAGGUUGGGAGGAUACAAUCAUUAACAAUUUCAAAAGCUAUAAAUGCAAUCCGAAUACAUGGCAAGUAGGGGUAAGCAUGUGAACAAAAAAAUCAGUGAACAUAAUCAAAUCCAAUACGUCAAUUUUGGCCUAGAUUGAAAUGAAAAAAACAAGGAAAUGCUUUGUGUAUCGAUUUGUUUAUGAAGGAAAUAAAACAUAUUUCAUGGAAAGAAAACCUGUGGUUACCUUUGUCUUCCUCUGCCAUUUGUCUAUCGAUUUGUUUCUGAAAGUGGCUAUUCUACAAGAUACAACAUGACAGGUCUUAGUUAGACCAAGUAAACGGCAUGGAAAUGCUUUCUGAAGCAAGAAUGUGUACUCAAGAGCUUUGUGCCAGAGAGGUCGUCGUACCCAGUGCACAAGGCUCCCGCUUUACGCAGGGUCUGGGAGAGGUGAAUGUCGGCUAGCCUUACCCCUAUUUAUGGAGAGGACUUAAGAAAAAUGAAAAAAACAAUAUAGAAUAUGGGUAAGAAUAAAUUUCGAUUAGACAAUAAUUCACUGUAUAAAUCGUUUUUUCAACUUUAAAGUGUGGCUUAAAAAGAAGCUUUAAACAAGUAGCAAUAAUUUCAUAUUGAAAAAUAAAACCUAUUUCAUGGAUAUUACAAGAGCCAUUAUUUUGAAAAACACACCUUUUGGUUCUUCACCACUUGACUUUUAAGAAGAUCUUCGUCCUUGUGACGAUUCAAAUUCUUUAAAAUAUCUCUACGACGGAAUAAACAAAACCAAUCUAGGCCAAAAUUGACUUGUUCGAUUUGAUUAUGUUCACUGAUUUUUCUGUUCACAUGUUUACCCCUACUUGCCAUAUAGUUUUGGGGUGUUAGUGCAUAGUGCUCUUCUCUUUACACACCAGUUUCAAUUUUAUUCUUCGUAAAUUAAGAGACCGUUUGAUAAUCAUUUCGUUUUCAAUUUAAAAAAUAUAAAAAACUAAAUGAAGUUUUCAACUAGAAUUUUCGCUUUUGGUUUUCAAUUUUAAUUUUUUUUAAAACAACUGAAAACUAAAAAUAGUUGCAAAAAGAAUUUUUCAUUUUUUUUUAAUUUAUAAAAAAGUAAAAACUGAAAACUCUAAACUAUAGACUAAAAAUUAAAAAGUGAAAUCGAAAUGGGCUCUCAACAAAAUUGAAAAAAGACUGGGCUGAAUUACUGAAUUCAAAGCAGGGCUUAUUAACGUUACGAGGCCCAAUGGAUCUGGAUAAAUAUUUUUCAUUUUUUUUUAACAAACGAUAUUAUUUAUAUAGGCUUAAUUUUACAGUGGGCUAACAAUAAUGUGGUUCAAAUUUGCUUUUCGCAAGAAUAGAACCUAAAACUUCUCACUUAUAAAUGAAGAGGAAUACCACUAAACCGUAGUCCUGAUAGAUUCGUUAUUUUAUUUUAUAUUUUAAGAAAAAAGAAAGAAAGCAAUGAAAAGCUGUACAUAAAAUAAAUACAAAAAGGAAUGAAAUGAAGAAGAGUGGGAGACUAAUGUUUAAUUCAAGAUAAAGAAAGAAAGCUGAUCGCACCACGACGGCGGCGACGUGGCGGUCAUUUAACGGAAAAUAACAGACAAAUCAGCCUCCAGAUCAAAUCUUGAAGCACAACUCUGAAAAAUCGAGACUACCAACAGCUGAGCUCCGACCAACCGUUGAUGGAUGCAAUCAGGAAGCUCAGAGAUCAGGUCGCCAAGCAACAGCAGGUACUCCCUCUCGUUUGAUUCCGAAUUUGUAUUUCUGUAUGGAUUUUGAUAUGAACAUAAUCUGCGUUGAUUGCGAGAUACUGAGAUUGCUUAAUGAAAUAAUAUUUAUAUAAUUGUUCGAGUUGAAUUGGAUCGAUUCGAAUUCAAAUAGAAUGUCACUAUUUCUGAGCUGUUUGGGGAUGUGUUGGAGUGCAAUGUUGAUGAAUUUCUGAAAUUUUGAGCUAGGUGUUGCUAAUUACUUAUCGAUUUUUGAUGUAAUUGGAUGCUUAAUUUUUACAUUUUCGGAAAACUUCAAACGAAAAUGGCAUAUAAUUCAACGUUCUAUGCUUCAUUAAUGCAUAAGAGUUGGUCGAAGCUUGAUCGAGUUUGCUUUUGGUUAUUUUGUGAACACCGUCAGGCUGUGUUCAAACAAUUUUCUGGUGGCAUAUAUGGGGGAUCGGAUAAUGUUGCCUCGGAUGAAAAUGAAUUUCAACAGCAUCAGAAACUCGAGAAGCUGUACAUAUCAACUCGUGCUGCCAAGGUUGCUACGCUUAUUUUUGUCUGUGCUUUAAACGAGCAUCACGUUAGUUGUGUUACCUAUCGUUUUUUUGCUUCAUCUUUAACAGCAUUACCAAAAGGAAAUUGUCCGCGGAGUGGAAGGUUACAUUGUGGCCGGUUCAAAGCACGUUGAAAUAGGUAUGUUGCUUGAAAUGCGUUGUCUUUUCUUUGGAGUUUGGAUAUGAAUUCAUGCUGGUUUUAUCAGUUGGUAUACAUAAUAUUUUUUCAACAGGUACCAAGCUAUCAGAAGAUAGCAGGAAAUAUGGUUCUGAAAAGACUUGCACCAGUGAUAACACAUUGUCGAGAGCUGCACUUAGUUUUGGAUGAGGUGGGGCCCAAAUGGAAAAAGAGUGCGGAGUUCUACUUAAAGCCCUUGGCACACAGGUUUAAGUCAAAUUAUUACUAACAGAGGCUAUUAAGUAAAAAUCAAAUAUUGCCAGGGCCGGCUUCAUACAAAUGGAAUUUCAACUGACUAAUUUUCGUGUGCAUUUGAUCAUUUCGAAAGAAAUUUACAGCAAAAAUUGUUUUCAUUUCCACGUCGUGGUUCAAGAAUUGGACUACUUUUUGUGUUUCUAUGCAUCGUAUGACAAACUGGCUCACCAUUUCUUUCUAUAGGUUUGCAUAAUAACUCUUUGUGUGCUUAUCAAUUUGCCUGUGUAGGUUGCAUAGCCUUUAUAGUGGGAGCGCCCAUGGAGGAUGCUCGACAUCUUGCUCAACGUUAUGCUAGAAUGCGGCAAGAAGCUGAAGCUCAGGUAUAUGCAGUUUCUUCUGUUUCCUACCAAUUUUAUUCUACAGUGAUUUUAUAUCCAAAACAAGCAUUGACUUGGCUGUCCAUCCAUCAAUAGCAGGUCCACAUCUCAACCCAAAUAUAAUGACGUCAAAGGAGAGGGGAAAAUGAGAAGGAAACUCUGGAGGGUAGAGGGAAGGAAAAGGGGAAAAGGAGAAAGGGAGAAGGGAAAAGUAGAACGGGAAGGAGGAAAAUGAGAGGAAAUUUCGGAGAAUAGAGAAAGGGAGAAGGGAAAAGAAGAAAAGCAGAAAAGAAGGGAAAAGGGGAAGGAAGCUUAGGAGGCUAGAGAAAAAGAUGGAAAUGCAUAAAAAUAAAAAAAUAAAAAAGGAAAGUCGCCUUCAUCAUUAUGUCUACUAACGGAAAGGAGCAACCACAUUGUAAAUUAUAUUUUGUAUAAUGAGAAACCAGUAUUCCUACCCUGAGGGUAUAGACACAACUUGCUGAAUCUCGUUACUAUACAGCAAGUUUAUAAUUGCACAAUAAUUCGAUCAAUCAUCUUAAGUUCAACCAUACAUGUAACAAGAUUUAAGUUUUUCCAAACUUUCCUUAUGAAGGUAACUGAACAUUACAAGUGUCACGUUAUUAUGCGAUUCUAUCAAGUUUUAAUUUUUGUCUCAUAACCACAUUACAAGUGCCACGUUAUUUAUUUUAUCCUUUAUUUUAUCUUUAUUAUUAAAACUUAAAAUUUUCAUAUUUUUUUAUUAAUUUUUUUUUAUAAAAUCACACGUAAAACAAGAAGUAAUCUUUUCUUUUUCUUUUCAUCUCUGCCACUAGCGGCCGACCAUGACUUAAAGAAACGCUUUUUGGAUGGGUCAAUGUAUGGGAACGACCCAUUUUAUAUGUUACAUGGUUGUGCAAUUAAAAGUGCAUUUUAUCAUAAAAAUGUGAGCAACGAUCAAUAUAAUUGUUAUUUAUAAAAUCACACAAAACACAAGAAGGAAUCUUUUCUUUUUCUUUUUCAUCUCUGCCACUACCAGCCGACCAUGACUUAAAAGAAACGCUUUUUGGUUCAAUGGAUGGGAACGACCUAUUUUAUAAUAAGAAAAAUUAAUUAAAAAAAUUUAAAAAUUUUAAGUUUUAAUAAUAAAAAGAUGUUGUAAAUAAAUAGUACAUAAUUGAUUUUUUUAGUAAAAGUAUAAUUUUUUAUUAAAAUUUCGUUCAAAUCCCCUUUAUAAUAUUGUUUGUAAAUUUUUCUGGAAGUAGAUGGAAAUGACCCAAUUACAUAUUUCCCCUGCUCACAGACAUUUUCAUUGCACCUAGAAAACCAGUUUUUUGUUAGAAAAUCGAUCCACAUCAAUGGCUCUUGUGAGAACAUCUCCAGGAACCUCCUCUGAUUCCAACACUUUUCGGAGUUAUCGCUACGACGUGUUCUUGAGCUUCAGAGGCGAAGAUACUCGCAAGACUUUUACCGACCACCUCUACACAGCCUUGAACAACGCAGGAUUUCUUACGUUCCGAGACGACGAUGAACUUGAGAGAGGAGAAGAUAUAAAGCCAGGACUGCAGAAAGCGAUCCAGCAGUCACGAACUUCUGUUGUCGUGUUUUCGAAAGAUUACGCUUCAUCCAGUUGGUGUCUUGAUGAGCUUGUGCUGAUCCUUGAACGCAAGAGGACCACCUCGGACCAUGUAGUUUUACCAGUCUUCUACGAUGUCGAUCCGUCCCACGUGAGGAAGCAGACAGGAAGUGUUGGAAAAGCAUUUGCUAGAAGCCAGAAAAAUCAGUCGCCGGAAAAGGUGCAGGGAUGGAGGAAGGCACUUGCAGAGAUUGCAGACCUAGCAGGCAUGGUCUUACAAAAUCAAGCUGAUGGGUAACUUUCAUUAUCUCCAUUUCUCAUCUUUCCUGGGUGAAUUUGAUGUAUGAUCCGUAAUGACCUAGAUUUUUAUAUGUUUAUUAAUUCAAUCUCAGUAGUGAAUAAUAAUCUCAAUUUAGGUCAACUUAAAGAAAUCACACUCAACUCAACUUAAGGAUUAGUCAUUUUCCAUGUUAAUCUACUGGUUUCCAGUUGCUUAAAUUUUUUUGAAAGCUGGUGUGGAAAAAGGUUAGGAUGUGAUCUGUCUAUAGUUCGUGUAAAUUAUGCGCUGUAUUCCUUUUUUUUUUCAAUUUAAUUUUGUCAGCAGUCCUCUUUUUUUUUUCUUAUUUAAAAAGGCAAUCAACAUAUGUUUUAAUUAUCUAAUUUCCCCAAUUCAUUUUUCAUUUUGUUUGCAAAUUCUUAGGUACGAGUCAAAGUUUAUCAAAAAAAUUGUUGAAGUGAUAGGAGACAAGUUAUGUCGUACGUCGUUGAGUGUUGAACCAAAAUUGAUUGGAAUUCAAUCUCAAGCCGAACGCAUCAAUUUGUGGUUACAAGAUGGAUCAAGUCAUGUUGGUAUAUUUGUUGUGUAUGGCAUGUCUGGAAUAGGGAAGACAACCAUUGCAAAACAUGUUUACAAUUCAAACUUUGGAAGCUUUCAAGGAAGUAGUUUCAUUGAAAAUAUCAAAGAAACAGCAGAUCGACCAAAUGGCUUAGUUCAAAUACAAAUGCAACUUCUUUGUGAUAUUUUGAACGGCAGAGAAGUGAAAAUACACAGUGUUAGUGAGGGAAUAAUUAAGAUUGAAAGGGCCAUAAGCACUAGAAGAGUUCUACUUGUUCUUGAUGAUGUUGACCAAAUGGACUAAUUCGAUGCAAUCCUAAGGAUGAAGGAUCAGUUUUAUCCUGGAAGUAAGAUACUAAUAACAACUAGGCGUGAAAGGCUGCUAAAGGCAGAUCAAGUUACAGAGGUGCACAGAGUUCAAACUUUGGAUUACAAUGAAUCAUUAAAGCUUUUCAGUUGGCAUGCUUUUGGCCAGGACCAUCCCAUAGAAGAAUACAUGGAGCACUCAAAACAGCUAGUGCAACAUAGCGACGGACUUCCAUUAGCUCUAAAAGUUUUGGGUUCUUCUUUAUCAGGGGAAAGUAUAGGUGUAUGGGAAAGUGCAUUGGAGAAGCUAAAAGUUAUUCCUGAUGGUGAAAUCAUAAACAAACUAAGAAUAAGCUAUGAAAGUUUAAAAGAUGACCAUGACCGGAAAUUAUUCCUCCACAUUGCUUGUUUCCUAAUAGGAAGGAACAAAACCUACAUUGUUAGAAUAUUCGAUGGAUGUGAUUUCUAUACAAUCAUUGGCAUUCAAAAUCUCAUUGAUAGAUGCUUGGUGACAUUUGAUGAACACGGCAAGGUGAAAAUGCAUGACAUGAUUCGUGCUAUGGGAAGAGAAAUUGUUCGCCAAGAAUCAGAAGAGCUUGAGGAACGUAGUAGAUUAUGGCGCCAUAAGGAUUCUUUCCAAGUAUUGAGGAAAAAGAAUGUAAGAAACAUGCCUUUUAUGUCUAUAUAUGUCUUUCUUCUUGUGAAAAUUAUGCAUAUUAAUGUCUUUUUUUUUUCCUUUAGGGUACAAAAAAAAUCCAAGGUCUUGUCCUGGAUAUGCGUAAUCAUUCUGCAAACAGUCCAAUAAACACAAAUGAGAUAGUCUUGGAAACCAAUGCAUUUGCAAGGAUGUGCAAUUUACAACUACUCCAUCUUAGUCAUGUACGACUGGAUGGAUGUUAUGCAGAUUUCCCUACAGGAUUAAGAUGGUUGUGUUGGCUUGAAUUUCCUUUGGAUUCUAUACCAAUUGAUUUUCCUUUGGAGAACGUAAUUGUUCUGGAAAUGCAAUACAGUAGCUUGAGACAAGUAUGCAAAGGAACAAAAGUAUGUUACUCUAUGCAUUUCAAUUCAUUUUCCUUAUUUUGUUAGUUUUUUAUUUGUUGACUAACUUCGUGUGUUAAAAUGAACUACUAUGUUUUCUUUAAUUCAAUGACUAAUUUCUUAUAUUAGAUACUUAUUUCAUUGUUAUUUUUUCUUCUUUUUUUUCCCUCUGUUUCCACAGUUUCUUCCAUCGUUGAAGAUCCUUGACGUCAGCCAUUCUCAUGGCCUUAGUGAAACCAUUGACUUCUCACUUUUCCCCAAUCUAGAGGAACUGAUUCUUGUAGAUUGCACAAGCCUGAAGAAUGUUCAUGAAUCCAUUGGAAGCUUGGAGAGACUCGUGUACUUGAAUAUAAAGGAUUGCAAGAAUCUUAGGAAGCUUCCGAAGAACAUGUGCAUGCUUAAGGCCCCGUUUGGGAUUGAGGUGAUUUUAAAAAAAGCCACUGUCAAAAAAAGCUGAGGAUCAUUUUUGUGUUUGGUAAACUGAAAAAAAAGGGCUUAUUUUGGAAGCUGCUGUGAGAAUAAGCUGAAAAUCAAAGAAAAAGCUGAAGCUGCUAUUUGCUGCUUUGAAAAAAAGCCAGUUUUUUCAAAGCACACGGAGCUACAGUGCUCCUUUAAUGAAAAGACACACUAUCAUCCUGCUUUUUUUUCCAAAAGCACUUUCACAAAAAAGUUUACCAAACACUCUACUGGCUUUAUUUCACAGCCGCUUAUUCUCACAGCACAGCUGCUUAUUCUUACAGCAGCUUUUUUUCAAAGCACAGCAAUACCAAACCAGCCCUAAAUCACUUGAACACUCAUUUUAUCUGGUUGCUCAAAUCUUGAUGAGUUUCCAAUGGAGAUGAUGAAGAUGGAGUCUCUGAAAGUUCUUGAGACAGAUGGACUUCCAAUAGGUAAAUUGUGGCCAGAAAGAAGUUCAACUAUCUUGAGUUCUUUUCCAUGCUCUUUAGUAGAGUUAAGUCUGAAGGGGUGCAAUCUUUCUGAUGAUGUCCUUCCUACGGAUUUAAGUAAUCUAUCCAAUUUGCAGUCUGCCAGUUUUCAUCAAAGGUUUGAGGAAGAUCGAUGAACUCUCUUUCAAGGGUUGUGAUAGGCUCGAAUCGCUUGUGGGGUUGCCGGAAGUACACCAAUGGCUAAGUAUAGCCGGAUGCAUAUCAUUAAAAAAAAUAACUUUUCAUUCCCCUGAGCAACCGUAUCUAGUACGUGGGGGUGACAACUCGAAUAACUGUAAUUGCUGUUACAAGUUACAGCCUUUUGAUAGAGUUGAUGUGAAAAUGAUCAAACUUAUGGGCUUGUGCAACUUUGAAUCCAUGCCAGCUGUUCAAAUGCGUAAUUCAUACACAUACAGGGAUCCAAAAGAGGUCCCCGUCCAGGUGCGCCUCUCUUUCUCUCUCUCAUAAGUCUUAAAUAUAUAAUGGGAAAGAAAUUACUGAGUAAUGUUGUGAUGACUGUGGCAAAUACAUAGGGACUGUAUCAAUUUGGUGUAUUCAGCACUUUUUUUGUUGGGAAUGAGGUUCCAGGCCGGUUCAGCUAUAAAAGUACGAAGUAUUCGAUAUCUUUUAUUGUCCCUUUACUACUUGCUAGUCACAGAAUUCGAGGCUUGAACAUCUUUGCUACCUAUGCAAAGGAAAAUUCAAAUAAUUAUUCUACUGGACCUAUUAUUGUUCCAAUAAUGAUCAAAGUGAGAAACAAGAGCAAGGGUUUGAAGUGGAUCUAUUGCCCAUUAUCCUAUGGAAUCCCAGGUGACGGAGAAGAUAUGAUAUGGUUGAGCCAUUGGAAGAUGGAGAAUAAUACAAUAUUACAAUGUGGAGAUGAAGUGGUGGUUUCGGUAAUAACCGGACCACGUGACUUGUUUUUGGUAAAGGAGUUUGGUGUCGAGCUUGUGCAAGAGCACCAAGACAAGAUGAGUACCCAACACAACACCAAAUCAGAUCCUAAUUAUCCAUUUGUUAUCGGUGGAGAUUUGAAGACGUGGAAGUGCAAACCAGGAAUAUACUUCCUUAGCUGUAGGAGACGAGAAGAUACUGACGACAUUGAUAUCCUCACCAUGGACUCUGAUGAAGAAGACACAAGUAUGUUGUGUUGUUGUAUAGCAUUGAAUUAUACUCCAUCCAAACACUUCCGGGUGUGUCCGUAUUCAUUUCAAAAACAUUUCCAAUAAAUUUUAUGUUAUUUGUAUGUUUUUCAGACAAAGAAGGGCAAGAGGAUGAACCUGAUUACACAAUUGCAAAGACGAUGGCAGCUAGCAAUAACUGCAGCCUAAGAGGAUGGAAGGUGCGCCUCACAGCUGUCGGCUUCUUUUUCGCGCUUGCUCUAGUUGGUUGGUCCUCCAUCUCGCAAAAAAAGAAGCGACACUCGUCCACAAGCCCACCAUGAGUUUGUAAUUUGACUUGAUAUAGAUAUAUCUUUGCAUUCCUUGCUCUCAAGAUGUUUUCUACCUUCGAAACUUCAAGUUUAGAGCUAAGCACUUUAACCGCUUGAGAUAUAAAAGCCCCUUGCAACUAGAUACCGAAGUUCAAAUGUGUUCAACGCCAUCAAAUAUAGCAUAAAAUACAUCCAGCAUUAGCGAUACUAGCAUAGUAGCAGUAAAUAAGUAAAACCAAAAAAUGCUUCCACACAUGGUAAGGGAAGGACUUUACAUAGGAAUCUUUAGCAAUAACGGGCAAGAUUUUUUUGUUUUUGGGAGGAGGUGGAUUAUUUCGGCACCGGGGAAAACAAAAACAUCCCAUCUUAGUUGUCGUUUACAACAAAAUCAUUCUUAAAGACUCGGCUCCCCAUUGAAAUUGUGUAAAUUGCAUAAAUAUCAAUACAACAGAUAUUAAAUAGAAUAAUAUAUAUCAAAUAAAUUAACGACAAGCAAUUUCUUAGCCUGAGAUCCAAGGACUUUACAGCUGGUUCAGCCUUGCAUUCGCUACUACAUUACAGAAGCUGGUUUCUGCUUCUUCAACCUGAACAAAUUAUUGAGGUCAGGAAGUAUAAGAGGAACGACCAUAGUCUCUGGAGCCAUGAAAUUUACUAUCUUCUUUUGGGCAUUGUACCUGCAAAAGCAUAAUGCAAUAAGCAUUCAACAAUCUGACCUAGUUUUCUCAACAGAUACUCCAAGAUAUUCCAAAACAAAGUCACAGCAAUUUCACAUAGGGAACCGAAGAAUCAUGUUCGUCCACUCUACACAUCCAAAGCAGCAAACUAACAAUUUCACAUAGGAUACCAGGUUGGGAGGAUACAAUCAUUAACAAUUUCAAAAGCUUUAAAUGCAAUCUGAAUACAUGGCAAGUAGGGGUAAACAUGUGAACAGAAAAAAUCAGUGAACAUAAUCAAAUCCAAUACGUCAAUUUUGGCCUAGAUUGAAAUGAAAAAAAAACAAGGAAAUGCUUUGUUGUUUUUGAAGGAAAUAAAACCUAUUUCAUGGAAAUAAAACCUGUGGUUACCUUUGUCUUCCUUUGCCAUUUGUCUAUCGAUUUGUUUCUGAAAGUGGCUAUUCUACAAGAUACAGCAUGACAGGUCCUAGUUAGACCAAGCAACCGGCAUGGAAAUGCUUUCUGAAGCAAGAAUCUGAACUCAAGAGCUUUGUGCCAGAGAGACUUCAGAAAAAUGAAAAAAAACAACAUAGAAUAUGGGUAAGAAUAAACAUCGAUCAAACAAUAAUUCACUGUAUAAAACAUUUUUUCAACUUUAAAGUGUGGCUUAAAAAGAAGCUUUAAACAAGUAGCAAUAAUUUCAUAUUGAAAAAUAAAACCUGGAUAUUACAAGAGCCAUUAUUUUGAAAGACACACCUUUUGGUUCUUCACUACUUGACUUUUAAGAAGAUCUUCGUCCUUGUCACGAUUCAGAUUCUUUAAAAUAUCUCUGCGAUGGAAUAAACAAAACCAAUCUAGGCCAAAAUUGACUUAUUCGAUUUGAUUAUGUUCACUGAUUUUUCUAUUCACAUGUUUACCCCUUACUUGCCAUAUGGUUUUGGGGUGUUAGUGCAUAGUGCUCUUCUCUUUACACACCUGUUUCAUUUGUAUUCGUUGUAAAUUAAGAGACCGUUUGAUAAUCAUUUCGUUUUCAAUUUAAAAAAUAUAAAAAACUAAAUAAAGUUUUCUAAAUUUGACCUAGAAUUUUUCGCUUUUGGUUUUUAAUUUUUUUUUUUAACAACUGAAAACUAAAAAUAGUUACAAAUUUUUUUUUCAGUUUUUAAUUUACAAAAAAGUAAAAACUGAAAACUCUAAACUAUAGACUAAAAAUUAAAAAGUGAAAUCGAAAUGGGCUCUCAACAAAAUUGAAAAAAGACUGGGCUGAAUUACUGAAUUCAAAGCAGGGCUUAUUAACGCUACGAGGCCCAAUGGAUCUGUAUAAAUAUUUUUUGUUUUUUUUUAACAAACGAUAUUAUCUAUAUGGGCUUAACCUUACAAUAGGCUAACAAUAAUGUGGUUCAAAUUUAUUUUUGACGAGAAUCGAACCUAAAACUUCUCGCUUACAAAUGAAGAGGAAUACCACUAAAUCAUAGUCCUGAUAUUUUAUUUAAUAUUUUAAGAAAAAAGAAAGAAAGCAAUGAAAAGCUGUACAUAAACUAAAUACAAAAAGGAAUGAAAUGAAGAAGAGUGGGAGACUAACGUUUAAUUCAAGAUAAAGAAAGAAAGGUAAUCGCACCCCGACGGCGGCGACGUGGCGGUCAUUUAACGGAAAAUAACAGACAAAUCAGCCUCCAGAUCAAGUCUUGAAGCACAACUCUGAAAAAUCGACACUACCUACAGCUGAGCUCCGACCAACCGUUGAUGGAUGCAAUCCGGAAGCUCAGAGAUCAAGUCGCCAAGCAACAGCAGGUACUCUCUCUCUUGUUUGAUUCCGAAUUUGUAUUUCUGUAUGGAUUAUGAUAUGAACAUAAUCUGCGUUGAUUGCGAGAUACUAAGAUUGCUUAAUGAAAUAAUAUUUAUAUAAUUGUUCAAAUUGAAUUGGAUCGAAUUCGAAUAGAUUUUUCACUAUUUCUGAGCUGUUUGGGGCUGUGUUGGAGUGUAUUGUUGCUGAAUUUCUGAAAUUUUGAAUCUAGCAAACACCAGUUCUUUUUGUUUGAACAUCGAUCCACAUCAAUGGCUCUUGUGAGAACAUCUCCAGGAACCUCCUCUGAUUCCAACACUUUUCGGAGUUAUCGCUACGACGUGUUCUUGAGCUUCAGAGGCGAAGAUACUCGCAAGACUUUUACCGACCACCUCUACACAGCCUUGAACAACGCAGGAUUUCUUACGUUCCGAGACGACGAUGAACUUGAGAGAGGGGAAGAUAUAAAGCCAGGACUGCAGAAAGCGAUCCAGCAGUCACGAACUUCUGUUGUCGUGUUUUCGAAAGAUUACGCUUCAUCCAAGUGGUGUCUUGAUGAGCUUGUGCUGAUCCUUGAACGCAAGAGGACCACCUCGGACCAUGUAGUUUUACCAGUCUUCUACGAUGUCGAUCCGUCCCACGUGAGGAAGCAGACAGGAAGUGUUGGAAAAGCAUUUGCUAGAAGCCAGAAAAAUCAGUCGCCGGAAAAGGUGGAGGGAUGGAGGAAGGCACUUGCAGAGAUUGCAGACCUAGCAGGCAUGGUCUUACAAAAUCAAGCUGAUGGGUAACCUUCAUUAUCUCCAUUUCUCUUCUCUUUGUUGGGUCAAUUUGAUGUAUGAUCCGUAGUGACAUAGAUUUUUAUAUAUUUAUUAAUUCAAUCUCAGUAGUGAAUAAUAAUCCCAAUUCAGGUCAACUUAAAGAAAGCACACUCAACUCAACUUAAGGAUUAGUCAUUUUCCAUGUUAAUCUACUGGUUUCCAGUUGCUUAAAUUUUUUUUGAAAGCUGGUGUGGAAAAAAGUUAGGAUGUGAUCUGUUUUGUAUUUGUCUAUAGUUUGUAUAGAUUAUGCGCUGUAUUCCUUUUUUUUUCAAUUUAAUUUUGUCAGGCAAUCAACAUAUGUUUUAAUUAUCUAAUUUCCCCAAUUCAUUUUUCAUUUUGUUUGCAAAUUCUUAGGUACGAGGCAAAGUUUAUCGAAAAAAUUGUUAAAGUGAUAGAAGACAAGUUAAGUCGUAUGCCAUUGAGUGUUGAACCAAAAUUGAUUGGUAUUCAAUAUCAAGCCGAACGCAUCAAUUUGUGGUUACAAGAUGGAUCAAGUGGUGUUGGUAUAUUUGUUGUGUAUGGCAUGUCUGGAAUCGGGAAGACAACCAUUGCAAAACAUGUUUACAAUUCAAACUUUAGAAGCUUUCAAGGAAGUAGUUUCAUUGAAAAUAUCAAAGAAACAGCAGAUCGACCAAAUGGCUUAGUUCAAAUACAAAUGCAACUUCUUUGUGAUAUUUUGAACGGCAGAGAAGUGAAAAUACACAGUGUUAGUGAGGGAAUAAUUAAGAUUGAAAGGGCCAUAAGCUCUAGAAGAGUUCUACUUGUUCUUGAUGAUGUUGACCAUAUGGACCAAUUAGAUGCAAUCCUAAGGAUGAAAGAUCAGUUUUAUCCGGGAAGUAAGAUACUAAUAACAACUAGGCGUGAAAGGUUGCUAAAGGCAGAUCAAGUUACAGAGGUGCACAGAGUUCGGACUUUGUAUUACAAUGAAUCAUUAAAGCUUUUCAGUUGGCAUGCUUUUGGCCAGGACCAUCCCAUAGAAGAAUACAUGGAGCACUCAAAACAGCUUGUGCAACAUAGCGACGGACUUCCAUUAGCUCUAAAAGUUUUGGGUUCUUCUUUAUCAGGGGAAAGUAUAGGUGUAUGGGAAAGUGCAUUGGAGAAGCUAAAAGUUAUUCCUGAUGGUGAAAUCAUGAAUAAACUAAGAAUAAGCUAUGAAAGUUUAAAAGAUGACCAUGAUCGGAAAUUAUUCCUCCACAUUGCUUGUUUCCUAAUAGGAAGGAACAAAAGCUACAUUGUUAGAAUACUCGAUGGAUGUGAUUUCUAUACAAUCAUUGGCAUUCAAACUCUCAUUGAUAGAUGCUUGGUGACACUUGAUGAACACGGCAAGGUGAAAAUGCAUGACAUGAUUCGUGCUAUGGGAAGAGAAAUUGUUCGCCAAGAAUCAGAAGAGCUUGAGGAACGGAGUAGAUUAUGGCGCCAUAAGGAUUCUUUCCAAGUAUUGAGGAAAAAGAAUGUAAGAAACAUGCCUUUUAUGUCUAUAUAUGUAUUCCUUCUUGUGAAAAUUAUGCAUAUUAAUGUCUUUUUUUUUCCUUUAGGGUACAAAAAAAAUCCAAGGUCUUGUCCUGGAUAUGCGUAAUCAUCCUGCAAACAGUCCAAUAAACACAAAUGAGAUAGUCUUGGAAACCAAUGCAUUUGCAAGGAUGUGUAAUUUACAACUACUCCAUCUUAGUCAUGUACGACUGGAUGGAUGUUAUGCAGAUUUCCCUACAGGAUUAAGAUGGGUGUGUUGGCUUGAAUAUCCUUUGGAUUCUAUACCAAUUGAUUUUCCUUUGGAGAACGUAAUUGUUCUUGAAAUGCAAUACAGUAGCUUGAGACAAGUAUGCAAAGGAACAAAAGUAUGUUACUCUAUGCAUUUCAAUUCAUUUUCCUUAUUGUGUUAGUUUCUUAUUUGUUGACUAACUCCAUGUGUUAAAAUGAACUACUAUGUUUUCUUUAAUUCGAUGACUAAUUUCUUAUGUUAGAUACUUAUUUCAUUGUUCUUUUUUCUUUUCUUUUUUUCCCUCUGUUUCCACAGUUUCUUCCAUCGUUGAAGAUCCUUGACGUCAGCCAUUCUCAUGGCCUUAGUGAAACCAUUGACUUCUCACUUUUCCCCAAUCUAGAGGAACUGAUUCUUGUAGAUUGCACAAGCCUGAAGAAUGUUCAUGAAUCCAUUGGAAACCUAGAGCGACUCGUGUACUUGAAUAUGAAGGAUUGCAAGAAUCUUAGGAAGCUUCCGAAGAACAUGUGCAUGCUUAAAUCACUUGAAACGCUCAUUUUAUCUGGUUGCUCAAAUCUUGAUGAGUUUCCCUUGGAGAUGAUGAAGAAGAUGGAGUCUCUGAAAGUUCUUGAGACAGAUGGAAUUCCAAUAAGUGAAUUGUGGCCAGAAAGAAGUUCAACUAUCUUGAGUUCUUUUCCACGCUCUUUAGUAGAGUUAAGUCUGAAGGGAUGCAAUCUUUCUGAUGAUGUCUUUCCUACGGAUUUAAGUAAUUUAUCCUACUUGCGAGGACUACAUUUAGAUGAGAAUCCAAUUUGCAGUCUGCCAGUUUUCAUCAAAGGUUUGAGGAGGAUCGAUAAACUCUCUUUCAAGGGUUGUGAUAGGCUUGAAUCGCUUGUGGGGUUGCCGGAAGUACACCAAAUAAUGAGUAUA
rnacentral:lncRNA from 1 species